rnacentral:ncRNA from 1 species
CCCAUCCUUGGUGAUGUUUUCACUCGAAAUUGACCGCUGUUGAGUUCCUACAACACUCAAUCAAUUGUUAGGGUCCAAAUGGCACAUUUGGACAAUUUUGGUCUCAAAUAAGCACAAAAAUAUAUUGAACCUGCCCUUGGGUUGGGAACAACAGCUAGAAAUAACUGCUAAUACCCUGUAGGCUGAGGAGCAAAAGGAGGAAUCCACCCGAUGAUAGGCUCGAGUAUGAUUAGCUAGUUGGUGAGGCAAUAGCUUACCAAGGCGAUGACCAGCAGCUGGUCCGAGAGGAUGAUCAGCCAGACUGGGUAUGAGACAUGGCCUAGACUCCUAUGGGAGGCAGUAGUGGGGAAUUUUUCGCUAUGGGAAAAAGCCUAACGGAGCAAUCCUGCGUAGAGGUGCCCACGGGUCGUGAACUUCCUUUCCUGGAGAAGAAGUCAUGAUAGUGUCUGGGGAAUAAGCAUAGGCUAUCUCUGUGCCAGCAACCAUGGUAAUACAGAGGAUGCAAGCGUUAUCCUGAAUGAUUGGGUGUAAACCCUUAUUGAACAGAAAAUCUAAAAA